rnacentral:rRNA from 1 species
UGGGGAAUUUUGGGCAAUGGGCGAAAGCCUGAUCCAGCAAUGCCGCGUGUGUGAAGAAGGCCUUCGGGUUGUAAAGCACUUUUGUCCGGAAAGAAAUCCUUGGCUCUAAUACAGUCGGGGGAUGACGGUACCGGAAGAAUAAGCACCGGCUAACUACGUGCCAGCAGCCGCGGUAAUACGUAGGGUGCAAGCGUUAAUCGGAAUUACUGGGCGUAAAGCGUGCGCAGGCGGUUUGCUAAGACCGAUGUGAAAUCCCCGGGCUCAACCUGGGAACUGCAUUGGUGACUGGCAGGCUAGAGUAUGGCAGAGGGGGGUAGAAUUCCACGUGUAGCAGUGAAAUGCGUAGAGAUGUGGAGGAAUACCGAUGGCGAAGGCAGCCCCCUGGGCCAAUACUGACGCUCAUGCACGAAAGCGUGGGGAGCAAACAGGAUUAGAUACCCUGGUAGUCCACGCCCUAAACGAUGUCAACUAGUUGUUGGGGAUUCAUUUCCUUAGUAACGUAGCUAACGCGUGAAGUUGACCGCCUGGGGAGUACGGUCGCAAGAUUAAAACUUAAAGGAAUUGACGGGGUCAUAGCUGUUUCCU